rnacentral:rRNA from 1 species
UACAGAGACUGCAAGCGUUAUUCGGAUUCACUGGGCGUAAAGGGUGCGCAGGCGGCCAAGUGUGUUAGGCGUGAAAGCCCGGGGCUCAACCCCGGAAUUGCACCUCAAACUACAUGGCUAGAGCAUUGGAGAGGGUAGCGGAAUUCACGGUGUAGCAGUGAAAUGCGUAGAUAUCGUGAGGAACACCAGAGGCGAAGGCGGCUACCUGGACAAUUGCUGACGCUCAGGCACGAAAGCGUGGGGAGCAAAAGGG